rnacentral:rRNA from 1 species
CCAUGCAAAAAGUCGAACGGUAUCACAGAGAGCUUGCUCUCGGGUGACGAGUUGGCGGACGCCGUGAGUAAUGUCUGGGAAACUGCCUGAUGGAGGGGGAUAACGUACUGGAAACGUAUAGCUAAUACCGCAUAACGUCGCAAGACCAAAGAGGGGGACCUUCGAAAGGCCUCUUGCCAUCAGAUGUGCCCAGAUGGAAAGAUUAGCAAAUAGUAGGUGGGGUAACGGCUCAAAACCUACGACGAUCCCUAGCUGGUCUGAGAGGAUGACCAGCCACACGAACUGAGACACGGUCCAGAAAACUCCUACGGGAGGCAGCAGUGGGGGGGGAAUAUUGCACAAUGGGCGCAAGCCUGAUGCAGCCAUGCCGCGUGUAUGAAUAAAGGCCUUCGGGUUGUUUUAAAGUUCAGCGGGGAGGGCCCCUGUUGCGGUUAAUAACCGCAGCAAUUGACGUUACCCGCAGAAGAAGCACCGGCUAACUCCGUGCCAGCAGCCGCGGUAAUACGGAGGGUGCAAGCGUUAAUCGGAAUUACUGGGCGUAAAGCGCACGCAGGUCUGUCAAGUCGGAUGUGAAAUCCCCGGGCUCAACCUGGGAACUGCAUUCGAAACUGGCAGGCUAGAGUCUUGUAGAGGGGGGUAAAAGAAUUCCAGGUGUAGCGGUGAAAUGCGUAGAGAUCUGGAGAAAGAAUACCGGUGGCGAAGGCGGCCCCCUGGACAAAGACUGACGCUCAGGUGCGAAAGCGUGGGGCACAGGAUUAGAUACCCUGGUAGUCCACGCCGUAAACGAUGUCGACUUGGAGGUUGUGCCCUUGAGGCGUGGCUUCCGGAGCUAACGCGUUAAAGUCGACCGCCUGGGGAGUACGGCCGCAAGGUUAAAACUCAAAUGAAUUGACGGGGGCCCGCACAAGCGGUGGAGCAUGUGGUUUAAUUCGAUGCAACGCGAAGAACCUUACCUACUCUUGACAUCCAGAGAACUUUCCAGAGAUGGAUUGGUGCCUUCGGGAACUCUGAGACAGGUGCUGCA